rnacentral:rRNA from 1 species
UGGGGAAUAUUGGACAAUGGGCGAAAGCCUGAUCCAGCAAUGCCGCGUGAGUGAUGAAGGCCUUAGGGUUGUAAAGCUCUUUUACCAGGGAUGAUAAUGACAGUACCUGGAGAAUAAGCUCCGGCUAACUCCGUGCCAGCAGCCGCGGUAAUACGGAGGGAGCUAGCGUUGUUCGGAAUUACUGGGCGUAAAGCGCGCGUAGGCGGUUUUUCAAGUCAGGGGUGAAAUCCCGGAGCUCAACUCCGGAACUGCCCUUGAAACUGGAUGACUAGAAUCCUGGAGAGGCGAGUGGAAUUCCGAGUGUAGAGGUGAAAUUCGUAGAUAUUCGGAGGAACACCAGUGGCGAAGGCGGCUCACUGGCUCGAUACUGACGCUGAGGUGCGAAAGUGUGGGGAGCAAACAGGAUUAGAUACCCCCGUAGUCC